rfam:Corchorus olitorius cultivar O-4 contig15682, whole genome shotgun sequence.
AUACUUACCUGGACGGGGUCAAUGGGUGAUCAAGAAGGCCCAUGGCCUAGGUAAGCGACCUCCAUUGCACUUAGGAGGGGCGCUUGCCUAAGGUCUCCCCAAGUGGGAGAGCCUACGUCAUAAUUUGUGGCAGUGGGGGCCUGCGUUCGCGCGGCCCCCGU